ACAGACGUCGAAUCCAGCAAAAAUUUCCUGACCGACUUCGGGAGAGAGAGGAAUUAUUGCUACGUGCCUCUUUCCCAGUGAAGAAAAUCUCUGUUGGCUGCGAGCAGAGAAGCGGCGGAAGGAUUCCCGACUCCGGGAAGCCAGGUGUCGGAAGGAAGAGGUACGCUUGAAGGGGGUCCGGCUGCCCGACUCUGCACUCGUCCGUUCAUGGCCCACCGUGGUGGUCACCAAAUUGAGGGCUUCCUGGAAGGACCUCCUCACGGUGCCCAUCCACUGGGUCAUGUGGGUCUGAGCCACUGUGAGUUUAUCUCCCAGCUGUCUCUCCCUCCCUCUCUGGAAGGCAACACUGGGCCAGGAUCUCACUCUAUUGCCCAGGCUGGACUGCAGUGGCGUGAUCAUAGCUCACUGCAGCCUUGGCCUCCCAGGCUCAAGUGAUCCUCCCACCUCAGCCUCCUGAGUAGCUGAGACUACAGAUGGAGCAACACCGUCAGUCAGAAGGUAGCAGAUGGCACAGGGCUUCCGCAUAAGGCCUGCAUCACCUGAGUCAUGGUUUUCUCAUCUUGUAUGAGGCCCACCCGCUUCAAAAGGUUGCGACAAAAAAACAACUGAGAUAAUUUGUGCCCCUGGCACGUAGUAAACACUCAAUAAGGCCGGGCGCAGUGGCUCACACCUGUAAUCCCAGCACUUUCGGAGGCUGAGGCGGGUGGAUCACUUGAGGCCAGGAGUUCGAUACCAGCCUGACCAACGCGGCAAAACCUCGUCUCUACUAAAAAUACAAUAAUUAACCAGACAUAGUGGUGUGCACCUGUAGUUCCAGCUACUCAGGAGCCUGAGGCAGGAGCAUCUCUUGAACCCAGGAGGUGGAGGUUGCAGUGAGCGGAGAUCGUACCACUGCACUCCAGCCUGGGUGACAGAACAAGACUCUGUCUCAAAACAACAACAACAACAA